rnacentral:rRNA from 1 species
UACGGCGGGGGCUAGCGUUGUUCGGAAUUACUGGGCGUAAAGCGCGCGUAGGCGGCUUUGUAAGUUAGAGGUGAAAUCCCGGAGCUCAACUCCGGAACUGCCUUUGAAACUGCAGUGCUAGAAUUCUGGAGAGGCGAGUGGAAUUCCGAGUGUAGAGGUGAAAUUCGUAGAUAUUCGGAAGAACACCAGUGGCGAAGGCGACUCGCUGGACAGAUAUUGACGCUGAGGUGCGAAAGCGUGGGGAGCAAACAGG